rnacentral:rRNA from 1 species
ACAGGGAUUGCCCUAGUAACGGCGAGUGAAGCGGCAACAGCUCAAAUUUGAAAUCUGGCUCUUUUAGAGUCCGAGUUGUAAUUUGCAGAGAGCGCUUUGGCGUUGGCAGCGGUCCAAGUUCCUUGGAACAGGACGUCACAGAGGGUGAGAAUCCCGUACGUGGUCGCUAACCUUCGCCGUGUAAAGCCUCUUCGACGAGUCGAGUUGUUUGGGAAUGCAGCUCUAAAUGGGAGGUAAAUUUCUUCUAAAGCUAAAUACUGGCCAGAGACCGAUAGCGCACAAGUAGAGUGAUCGAAAGAUGAAAAGCACUUUGGAAAGAGAGUCAAACAGCACGUGAAAUUGUUGAAAGGGAAGCGCUUGCAGCCAGACUUGCCCGCAGUUGCUCAUCCGAACUUUUGUUCGGUGCACUCUUCUGCGGGCAGGCCAGCAUCAGUUUGGGCGGUUGGAUAAAGGUCUCUGUCAUGUACCUCCUCUCGGGGAGGCCUUAUAGGGGAGACGACAUGCAACCAGCCUGGACUGAGGUCCGCGCAUCUGCUAGGAUGCUGGCGUAAUGGCUGUAAGCGGCCCGUCUUGAAACACGGACCAAGGAGUCUAACAUCUAUGCGAGUGUUUGGGUGUCAAGCCCGAGCGCGUAAUGAAAGUGAACGGAGGUGGGAACCCUUAAGGGUGCACCAUCGACCGAUCCUGAUGUCUUCGGAUGGAUUUGAGUAAGAGCAUGGCUGUUGGGACCCGAAAGAUGGUGAACUAUGCUUGAAUAGGGUGAAGCCAGAGGAAACUCUGGUGGAGGCUCGCAGCGGUUCUGACGUGCAAAUCGAUCGUCAAAUUUGGGCAUAGGGGCGAAAGACUAAU